rnacentral:lncRNA from 1 species
CUUAGAAAUCCUCACUACUUUAUAACUCUACUUCCCAAGACCCUGACCCACUUAAACAUCAAUAACCCUUGAUCCAACCCUUCGAUCAAGCUAAAACUCACAACAUGUAUUAAAUACAUAUAUAUCCAUAAAUUCUUAAAAUUUCACUUACAAAUCUAUUGCCAAACUUACGAAAUUCUCCAAAAAUUAUCACACUUUAUUUCACAAAUCCACAAUCAUCCAAAAAUAAUUCCGACUUUGUAAA